rnacentral:rRNA from 1 species
AUUGAACGCUGGCGGCAUGCCUUACACAUGCAAGUCGAACGGCAGCACGGGUGCUUGCCCCUGGUGGCGAGUGGCGAACGGGUGAGUAAUACAUCGGAACAUGUCCUGUAGUGGGGGAUAGCCCGGCGAAAGCCGGAUUAAUACCGCAUACGAUCUACGGAUGAAAGCGGGGGACCUUCGGGCCUCGCGCUAUAGGGUUGGCCGAUGGCUGAUUAGCUAGUUGGUGGGGUAAAGGCCUACCAAGGCGACGAUCAGUAGCUGGUCUGAGAGGACGACCAGCCACACUGGGACUGAGACACGCCCCAGACUCCUACGGGAGGCAGCAGUGUGGAAUUUUGGACAAUGGGCGAAAGCCUGAUCCAGCAAUGCCGCGUGUGUGAAGAAGGCCUUCGGGUUGUAAAGCACUUUUGUCCGGAAAGAAAUCCUUGGCCCUAAUACGGUCGGGGGAUGACGGUACCGGAAGAAUAAGCACCGGCUAACUACGUG